GCCAUCGGGGUGUCCACGGUGACAUGUCUGUUUUCCACACAGAAGUGACGGGUUCGAUUCCCGUCGGUGGCU
rnacentral:tRNA from 1 species